rnacentral:rRNA from 1 species
CAUGCAAGUCGAACGAGAAUCUUUGAACAGAUCUUUUCGGAGUGACGUUCAAAGAGGAAAGUGGCGGACGGGCGAGUAACGCGUGAGUAACCUGCCCAUAAGAGGGGGAUAAUCCAUGGAAACGUGGACUAAUACCGCAUAUCGUAGUUAAGUUGCAUGACUUGAUUAUGAAAGAUUUAUCGCUUAUGGAUGGACUCGCGUCAGAUUAGAUAGUUGGUGAGGUAACGGCUCACCAAGUCAACGAUCUGUAGCCGAACUGAGAGGUUGAUCGGCCGCAUUGGGACUGAGACACGGCCCAGACUCCUACGGGAGGCAGCAGUGGGGAAUAUUGCGCAAUGGGGGCAACCCUGACGCAGCAACGCCGCGUGCAGGAAGAAGGUCUUCGGAUUGUAAACUGUUGUCGCAAGGGAAGAAGACAGUGACGGUACCUUGUGAGAAAGUCACGGCUAACUACGUGCCAGCAGCCGCGGUAAUACGUAGGUGACAAGCGUUGUCCGGAUUUACUGGGUGUAAAGGGCGCGUAGGCGGACUGUCAAGUCAGUCGUGAAAUACCGGGGCUUAACCCCGGGGCUGCGAUUGAAACUGACAGCCUUGAGUAUCGGAGAGGAAAGCGGAAUUCCUAGUGUAGCGGUGAAAUGCGUAGAUAUUAGGAGG